GCUGGGGUAGCUCAGUUGGUAGAGCACGUCCUUGGUAAGGACGAGGUCGGCGGUUCGAUCCCGCUCUCCAGCU
rnacentral:tRNA from 1 species